GACGAACGCUGGCGGCGCGCUUAACACAUGCAAGUCGAACGGAAAGGCCUGCUUUCCCUUGUGGAUUGCGGGUACUCGAGUGGCGAACGGGUGAGUAACACGUGAGUGAUCUGCCCCCAACUUGGGUAUAAGCCUGGGAAACUGGGUCUAAUUCCCGAUAGGACUGCAGGGUGGUGCCUGUGGUGGAAAACGAUUUUCUAGUGGUUGGGGAUGAGCUCGCGGCCUAUCAGCUUGUUGGUGGGGUAAUGGCCUACCAAGGCGGCGACGGGUAGCCGGCCUGGGGGGGGGGGAGGCCCACAUUGGGCCGGGGAACCGGCCCAGACUCCACGGGAGGGCGGAAGUGGGGAGAAUGCACAAAGGGGGGGAGCCUGAUGCAGCGAAGGCGGGGGGGGGAUGGCCGGCUUCGGGGUGUAAACUCCUUUCGGCCGGGAGGAAGCCCCCUGGUUGGAAGGGGUGGUGACGGUAGUGGUAGAAGAAGCACCGGCUAACUACGUG
rnacentral:rRNA from 1 species